rnacentral:lncRNA from 1 species
UAAGACCUUAUGAAAACUUGAUUCCAUACCAUUACAAAACUUUGUUUCUUCCAAAUAUCAUAUUCAAGACAUCUUCAAAUCAUAAUUUGUUUCAUAGCCAUCACGGUUCAAGCUCCAUCCAGCAAGAUCUCAAUAAAAAAACCUGCAACCAAACAAUUCCAACAAGAAUUGUUAGAAUCAUAGCAAUGUAAAAAUGCGGUUCUAAAGGAGUACGGUGUAAUUUUUCCGAGAAUAUUAUACGGAUUUUCCAUACUCCAGGUAUGUUAAAACUAUCCCUUCUUUCUUUUGGCAUGAUCCAUACGAUACAAAUGAAACGAGCAAAAUAUGCAACUUUCAUAAAUGACUCUAUUCAUAGAAAUACUAGGGGUGUCUAUAUUCUUGAUUCCCCAUGUGAAUUAUUAUUAUAUCUUCUGUUCAUGGGUCUCUGAAAAAUACGUAUUUGAUAAAAUUUAUCCGAAGGAAAUAUUGAGUUUAUGGCAUUCCGAGAAAAUCUUAUUAAAGUAUUUUUUAUGCAUUUAUACAUGUACAUUGAUCNNNNNNNNNNNNNNNNNNNNNNNNNGUUGAUGAUGUUCCCACAGUGGCCGAGACGAUAUGAUGGGAUGCCCUCAGAGGCUUGAUGAUAUUAUGUACACCUAUACCUAUGCAUGACACGAUAUUUAUAUGCAUGUGCAUGGCAUUAUAAAUGUUUCAAAAUUUACAAAGUUUUUCAGAUUUACAUAUGGAUUUCUUUAUUCCAUAUUUCAUCUAUGUCUUGUUACGUACUGAUUUUUAUGCCUUACAUAGUCAGUACAUUUUUCGUACUAACACCCUAUUUCAUGUGGCCUGUGUUUCAUGCCCGCAGGUGUAGGUAAGCAAGUUGACAACCCCCUUUUUAGGAUCCUUGAUCAACGAGAGUUGGCGUGCUCCACUUGAUCCGGAGUUGCUUUUGAUUUUGGUACAAAAUGCUUGUAUAUAUAUGGGUAUGACGUGGCUUAGUCCCGUCUUUGUACAGUUGUAUUUCUAUUAGAGGUCUGUAGACAGUAUGCCUAGUUGGAUAGUAUGUGGCCUUGACGACUUCCAGUUUUUGAGGUAUAUAGUUGUCUAUAGCAGCCUUGUCGGCUCGCCCUACGUAUUUUGCACAUAUAUGUACAUAUGCCUUUUGGACAGGUUUCCUUCAUGUAUAUUAUCCUCGUAAUUCAGC